GACGAACGCUGGCGGCGUGCUUAACACAUGCCAGUCGAACGGAAAGGCCCUGCUUUUGUGGGGUGCUCGAGUGGCGAACGGGUGAGUAACACGUGAGUAACCUGCCCUUGACUUUGGGAUAACUUCAGGAAACUGGGGCUAAUACCGGAUAGGAGCUCCUGCUGCAUGGUGGGGGUUGGAAAGUUUCGGCGGGUGGGGAUGGACUCGGGGCUUAUCAGCUUGUUGGUGGGGUAGUGGCUUACCAAGGCUUUGACGGGUAGCCGGCCUGAGAGGGUGACCGGCCACAUUGGGACUGCGAUACGGCCCAGACUCCUACGGGAGGCAGCAGUGGGGAAUAUUGCACAAUGGGCGGAAGCCUGAUGCAGCAACGCCGCGUGCGGGAUGACGGCCUUCGGGUUGUAAACCGCUUUCGCCUGUGACGAAGCGUGAGUGACGGUAAUGGGUAAAGAAGCACCGGCUAACUACGUG
rnacentral:rRNA from 1 species